GAACCUUCCGGAACCCACGGAGCGGAGGGCGGGGCUCGGCCCCUCCGGUCGGCCAGAGAAAGAUGCUCUAAUCGGCUGUCGCCGCAGGGGCUUAUGGGUCUCCCCCCACAAGAGGUGAACCCCUAAAAGCCAACAGAGACUCAUACACCAAUCAGCGACCGGGCCCAGCAACGAGACUCAGACGAACUACAUUAUUGCAACGGACUGGGGGGCGGGGCACGAGGAGCUCCACAUU